rnacentral:piRNA from 1 species
UAUAGUGUUCACUUAAGCUUG